rnacentral:rRNA from 1 species
GACGAACGCUGGCGGCGUGCUUAACACAUGCAAGUCGAACGGAAAGGCCCUGCUUUUGUGGUGUGCUCGAGUGGCGAACGUGUGAGUAACACGUGAGUAACCUGCCCUUGACUUUGGUAUAACUUCAGGAAACUGGGGCUAAUACCGGAUAGUAGCUCCUGCUGCAUUGUGGGCGUUGGAAAGUUUCGGCGGUUGGGGAUUUAGUCGCGGCUUAUCAUCUUGUUGGUGGGGUAGUGGCUUACCAAGGAUUUGACGGGUAGCCGGACUGAGAGGGUGAGCGGCAAAAUGGGGACUGAGAGACGGAGCAGACGAGUACGGGAGGGAGAAGUGGGGAAAAUUGCAAAAAGGGAGGAAGGAUGAUGCAGAAAGGGAGCGUGCGGGAUGACGGGCUUCGGGUUGUAAAAAGAUGUGGAAUGUGAAGAAGCGUGAGUGACGGUAAUGGGUAAAGAAGCAACGGCUAACUACGUG